rnacentral:rRNA from 1 species
AGAAUCAACGCUGGCGGCGUGCCUAACACAUGCAAGUCGAACGAGAAAGUGGAGCAAUCCAUGAGUAAAGUGGCGCACGGGUGAGUAACACGUGACUAACCUACCCUUGAGUGGGGAAUAACUUCGGGAAACCGAGGCUAAUACCGCAUAACACCUACGGGUCAAAGGAGCAAUUCGCUUAAGGAGGGGUCGCGGCAGAUUAGUUAGUUGGCGGGGUAAUGGCCCACCAAGACAGUGAUCUGUA